UUCACCGACUUACUGAAGCACAAAAUUGGUUUGGUAACCUCAUUAAGCUUUGAACUUCAUAGCCAGGUGUAGCCAAUCAUGAGAAAAUGUAUUUAAUGUGGCCAAAUCCAAGUUGUUCUCCUAUUUGAAUCUCCUCUGAAGAGCGGUGUCAUGGGCUCCUCAAAACAGCUCUCAAAUGAUCUGAAAACAAAGAUUGUUCAACAUAGUUGUUUAGGGGAAAGGUACAAAAAGUUGUCUCAGACAUUUAACCUGUCAGUUUCCACUGUGAGGAGCAUAGUAAGGAAAUGGAAGACCACUGGGACAGUUCUUGUUAAGCCCAGAAGUGGCAGGCCAA